rnacentral:rRNA from 1 species
CUCAGUUCGGAUCGAAGUCUGCAACCCGACUUCGUGAAGCUGGAUUCGCUAGUAAUCGCGCAUCAGCCAUGGCGCGGUGAAUACGUUCCCGGGCCUUGUACACACCGCCCGUCAAGCCAUGAAAGCCGGGGGUACCUGAAGUACGUAACCGCAAGGAGCGUCCUAGGGUAAAACUGGUAAUUGGGGCUAAGUCGUAACAAGGUAGC